AUGCUUACAACCGUGUGGAAGGGUUGCCCCCCCCCCCCAAAGUGCAAGUUCUUCGCCUGGUUGGUCUUACAAAACAGGAUUUGGACAGCCGAUAGACUAAGCCGCCGUGGAUGGCCAACCUGUGGUCUUUGCCCUCUUUGCAAGCAAGCUCCUGAGUCCGCUGUGCACCUUCUCGCCCAAUGCCGCUUCACGACCUGUAUCUGGACCGAGAUCGCGAACUGGCUUGGCCUCCUGGAUUUCUCAACUUUGGCUUGGGCAAAUGCCACCUCGGUGAGAGGUUAGUGGACUGAUACAGUGAAUAAUACAAGACCGCACUGGAAGGCUCUCACUUCGCUGAUGAUGUUGGUAUCUUGGGAGAUUUGGAAGGAACGCAAUGCGAUAGUUUUCCGCAACAUUGCCGCACCCACCAUGUUAAUUGUCAGGAGGAUCAAGGAAGAGGCCCAUCUUUGGGUUCUAGCGGGUGCGAAAUACUUGAGUAAUGUAAUUCCGCGAGAGUAG
rnacentral:rRNA from 1 species